GAGAGACCUGCGAACGCGUCCAUUCCUACGUGCGAACCACGGUUCGAGGAAUCGAUUGCGUAAAUGUAGGAAGCGCGGAUGCAUUCACCUUUCGAGCUCCCUUGUGCAGCCUUGCUCGCCCAGUGCCUCUCAUCCUCCUUCUGAUUUUUCAAAUAAGUCCGCGAAAAAAUCUUCCUC